CGUAGGGUGCAAGCGUUAAUCGGAAUUACUGGGCGUAAAGCGUGCGCAGGCGGUUAUGUAAGACAGAGGUGAAAUCCCCGGGCUCAACCUGGGAACUGCCUUUGUGACUGCAUAGCUAGAGUACGGCAGAGGGGGAUGGAAUUCCGCGUGUAGCAGUGAAAUGCGUAGAUAUGCGGAGGAACACCGAUGGCGAAGGCAAUCCCCUGGACCUGUACUGACGCUCAUGCACGAAAGCGUGGGGAGCAAACAGGAUUAGAUACCCUGGUAGUCCACGCCCUAAACGAUGUCAACUGGUUGUUGGGUCUUCACUGACUCAGUAACGAAGCUAACGCGUGAAGUUGACCGCCUGGGGAGUACGGCCGCAAGGUUG
rnacentral:rRNA from 1 species